rnacentral:lncRNA from 1 species
CUACAAGUUUUAGAUGUUUUAUAACAGUAUAAAAUGUUCUCAAGAUGUUUUAGAUGGUUAUAACAGUAUAAAGGUUCUCUCAGUGUUUUAAGAUGUUUAUAACAGUAUAAGUUCUCACAGAUGUUUAGAUUGUUAUAACAGUAAUAAUGUUCUCACAGAUGUUUUUAGAUGUUAGGAGGUUGUCUUUAGGGAGAGUUUUUUAGGUUUUAUACAGUAUAAAGGUUCUCUUCAAGAUGUUUUAGAUGUUUAUACAGUAUAAGGUUCUCACAGAUGUUUUAGAUGUUUAUAACAGUAUAAAGGUUCUCACAGAUGUUUUAGAUGUUUAUAACAGUAUAAAGGUUCUCACAGAUGUUUUAGAUGUUUAUAACAGUAUAAAAGGUUCUCACAGUAGUUUUAGAUGUUAUAACAGUAUAAAGGUUCUCACAG